GUCAGAAGUGAUGAGUUUCUUUUACCGCCCCAGUCUGAAGAUUCAUGACUGAUUGGUAUCCUCUGAUAAC
ensembl:snoRNA SNORD31 Small nucleolar RNA SNORD31